rnacentral:tRNA from 1 species
CGGCGAGAAAAGAUAUAACCUGUGACAUAAUGGAAUACGCCACUAUGUCUUCUUCGAACUCCACACAUAACU